rnacentral:tRNA from 1 species
GCCCGGGUGGCGGAAUAGGUAGACGCAAGGGACUUAAAAUCCCUCGGUGUUUAUCACCGUGCCGGUUCGAUUCCGGCCCCGGGCA